GCUCAUAUUGGCAACUUAUUAACAUCAAAAUUCUUCAGUUAUAAGGAUUUUGAUACUUUAUUAUAUACCUGUGCAGCAGAGUUUGACUUUAUGGAAAAAGAGACUCCACUGAGAUACACAAAGACAUUAUUGUUUCCAGUUGUUCUUGUAGUGUUUGUUGCUAUUGUUAGAAAGAUUAUUAGUGAUAUGUGGGGUGUCUUAGCUAAACAACAGACACACAUAAGAAAACACCAGUUUGAUCAUGGAGAGCUGGUUUACCAUGCAUUGCAAUUGUUAGCAUAUACAGCCCUUGGUAUUUUAAUUAUGAGACUAAAACUCUUCUUGACACCACACAUGUGUGUUAUGGCAUCACUGAUCUGCUCAAGACAGCUAUUUGGAUGGCUCUUUUGCAAAGUACAUCCUGGUGCUGUUGUUUUUGCUAUAUUAGCAGCAAUGUCAAUACCAGGUUCAGCAAAUCUGCAAACCCAGUGGAAUACUGUAGGGGAGUUCAGCAACUUGCCACAAGAAUUUAUAGAAUGGAUCAAAUAUAGUACUAAACCAGAUGCAAUGUUUGCAGGUGCCACGCCCAGGAUGGCAAGUGUUAAGCUCUCUGUGCUUCAGCCCAUUGUGAAUCAUCCACAUUAUGAAGAUGCAGGCUUGAAACAAAAAUAGUAUACUCAAUGUAUAGUCAGAAAGCAGCUGAAGAAGUGAAGCGAGAACUGAUAGUUAAAAGUGAACUAUUACAUUCUAGAAAAGUCAUGGUGUGUAAGAAGAUCCAAGCCUGGUUGCAGUAUGCCUGAAAUUUGGGAUGUAGAAGAUCCUGCCAAUGCUGGGAAAACUCCCUUAUGUAACCUCUUGGUGAAGGAUUCCAAACCUCACUUCACCACUGUAUUCCAGAACAGUGUUUACAAAGUCCUAGAAGUUGUAAAAGAAUGA
rnacentral:lncRNA from 1 species